rnacentral:rRNA from 2 species
UACGUAGGGGGCUAGCGUUGUCCGGAAUCAUUGGGCGUAAAGAGCGCGUAGGCGGCCCGGUAAGUCCGCUGUAAAAGUCAAAGGCUCAACCUUUGAAUGUCAGUGGAUACUGCCGGGCUAGAGUCCGGAAGAGGCGAGUGGAAUUCCUGGUGUAGCGGUGGAAUGCGCAGAUAUCAGGAGGAACACCAACGGCGAAGGCAGCUCGCUAGGACGGUACUGACGCUGAGGCGCGAAAGCGUGGGGAGCGAACAGG